CCAAUUAACUCUUUAUUCCAAAGAUGUGCUCAUUUGUUUUAAUGGGAAAUAAUAAAAUGGAGGGGAGAGCAGCAGCAAAGUGACCUCUGAGGAAAAUGUUGGUUUUAAUAGCUGAAACUAUGUAGUCUCUUGUUUAAAUCCUCACUUUUGCAGGUGUAAUAGAUACUGGUGUCUGUGAUUAAAAAAUUGAAUGGAAGGGGAAUUUUGUAUAUCUUUAAACACUUAGGUAUGUGCUGGACACUUUCUGGGGAACAUGCGUUCAUUUGUUGCUCUUUGUUUGAACGUUUAGAGAUACAUCUCCUCUUCACAAUGGAUUGGAUCUGGGCAUAGCCAUACUUAACAUAAAUAUCUUGAAAUUAGUGGAAUUUAAGUUCGUCUCUGUUGGUUUCAGUAGGUCCCCACAGAGUAUGACUAAGUCUAGGUCUAGCUGUCUUAACAUCUUUAGUGCCACACAACUGGUGCUGUGUAGGCACCAUCAUUGGCUUGUGAGGGAAGCAGUGGGCAUAUUCUCAUCUAGAUUUUGGUCCAUAAGCUACCCCAAAUGUUCAUAUGAAUUGACUCUUGUUUGUAAGUGCUGAUGAUAAAUUGACACUCCUGGCAUAGUUUGACUUGUAUUACCAUCACUUCCAAACAGCAAGAGACUGAAAACAUUUUAACACAAGAAGAUCUCUAUAACUUUCUGACUGUCCUGUUUGUUGUUUACAGUUUGCCCCCAGUCCUUUUAAUAUUGUGAAAGAUGCUCAGCUUUUUAAAAAAAAUGCUAAUUGAAAAGCAGCAAAUCUCUUUGGGGCAGGGAAGAAGAAAGGCUAAUGAUGAGCACAACCCCUCCUCACGCAAAGCAUUCCUGGAGUUUGGAAGAAAGAUUUCUGAUAAUCUUAACAAAAUCCAGGAGGAGGGUCUUUUAAAGAUCUUUGCUUUGUGUGUGGAUAAUUGAUGGAUGGAUAGGAUCUGUAUUUGUUUUCUCUUUGUUUCAUCUGAAACAAUUCAGAUGUUAUCCUGUUGUUAAUGUGCCUGUAUAUAGAUGUGCAUUAUGAGGCUGGUACAGGAGAUUGUCUUGGUGGAUAUUAGCCAUUGGCACAAGCCAGCUAUGUAUACUGCAGAACCUGUAGGCGCCACUUCUCUUACUGUGUUUUGAUAGCUGAAACCAUAAAGCUUCUCUUUCCUACCUAUGUUUUUACUGCAGUUCUUGUUUGUAAUUGUACUUGGUCACAUUUUAUAUGCAAUUCUUAAUUAAAAUCACCUGACCUAGACCAGUUUCCCUGUGCCUCUUCUUUUGAUACUUUUGUUUUAUUCUUUGUAAAAUUUCUGAUGUAGUUGGGACUGUAGUGGGCGUUUUACCACAUUUGAUUAUCCAUGGCAGGUGUUCGGAUUG
rnacentral:lncRNA from 1 species